rnacentral:rRNA from 1 species
AACGGCGAGUGAAGCGGCAAGAGCUCAAAUUUGAAAUCUGGCCUCCUUGGGGGGUCCCGAGUUGUAAUUUGUAGAGGAUGCUUCGGGUGUGGCCGCCGUCUAAGUUCCUUGGAACAGGACGUCGUAGAGGGUGAGAAUCCCGUCUUGGGCGGCCGGUCCGCGCCCGUGUGAAGCUCCUUCGACGAGUCGAGUUGUUUGGGAAUGCAGCUCUAAGCGGGUGGUAAAUUUCAUCUAAAGCUAAAUACUGGCCGGAGACCGAUAGCGCACAAGUAGAGUGAUCGAAAGGUUAAAAGCACCUUGAAAAGGGAGUUAAACAGCACGUGAAAUUGUUGAAAGGGAAGCGCUUGCGGCCAGACUCGAGGGGCGGGGUUCAGCGGGUGCGCGUCACCCGUGCACUCCCCGUUCCCCCGGGCCAGCAUCAGUUUCGACGGCCGGUCAAAGGCCCCCGGAAUGUGUCGUCUCUAGGGACGUCUUAUAGCCGGGGGUGCAAUGCGGCCCGCCGGGACCGAGGAACGCGCUCCGGCUCGGAUGCUGGCGUAAUGGCCGUAAGCGGCCCGUCUUGAAACACGGACCAAGGAGUCUAACAUCCACGCGAGUGUUCGGGUGUCAAACCCGUGCGCGCAGUGAAAGCGAACGGAGGUGGGAGCCCUAGGGCGCACCAUCGACCGAUCCUGAAGUCUUCGGAUGGAUUUGAGUAGGAGCGUGGCCGUUGGGACCCGAAAGAUGGUGAACUAUGCCUGAAUAGGGUGAAGCCCAAGGAAACUCUGGUGGAGGCUCGCAGCGGUUCUGACGUGCAAAUCGAUCGUCAAAUUU